rnacentral:lncRNA from 1 species
AAUUGUUCUACUCCUCUCUCAUAUUCUUCGCUUGUUCGUUUAGAAUUUAUCCAACUGCGAUCCAUAUUAACGUUUUGUGGCAAUGAACUGAAACCAACAAAAAGGUCACACUUUAAUAUUUAUUCAACAACGUCAACCUUUGUAGUACAAAGCAACAACACUAUAAAGAUUAUUGUUUAUGCAAAUCUUUAAGGCUUCCUACAAAACAAGUAGGUGAAGCCACUUAAACACAAAUAAGCCACUUCUGCAUUUACGUGAAGUUGCCAAUAUUUUCACUGUUUUUCUUGCUGAAAUGUUGCUGAAACAGUGAUAAUUCAGCUUGCUGGACAGUGCUCUUAUGCUACCAUUCAGCUCCCUCUCCACUUCCUAAAAUGCUACCUUGGUAGAGAUGGUUACUAGGCUUUGAAAAAGUGGCUGGAAACACAACACUAAAUGAAUUAUCUAAAACACUUUUCAGUCCACUAUCUGAGUCUAGAAAUUAGUCAACAGACUAGUAACCUUACUACACAACACUAAAUGAAUUAUCUAAAUGAUUUACUACUAAAUGAAUUAUCUCAUAUGGACUUCAGUUAGUAGAUCUAUUUACCAAAGGUCUUUCUAUUAAAUGAUUUCAUGACCUCACAUACAAACUAGGAACGAUACAUAUUUAUUCACUAUCUUGAGGGGAGUUUUAUUAGUAGGAUAUUAAGUGUACUACUAGAAGCUAUUAGAAGAUUUUAAAGAUCUCUCAACAAUUAUACCCACUCACCUAUACCGAGCAAAUUCUGAUAGUGCAGCUGCUGCAGCUUCCCUCUGAUAUUUUUGGGGUUGAUGCAAUGAGUUUUUCAAAAAAAAGACAAAUAUUUUGUACCUAUAUAUCCAACAAGGAAAGAAUGUUGGUCAAUCAAGUUAACACUUUCAGAGGGCUACAAUGUUUUACUAAAUAGCUCUCAAGGAAAGAAAAUGAUCCCCAACAAUAUAACUUUACUAUCGUAUUAUUUGUAGAAAAUUAGAGCAGAAGGUCAAAUGCAAGACAUUCUUAAAAGCAGGAAAAAAAAUACAGUCACUUCUGCUGGUUAGUCAGGUUCUUUCAUUGAUGUAAUCUAUUCCAUAGUCCAAAUAUCAGUCAAAUCAGUAUUCGUAAAGGAAAAAGAGUAGGAAGGUGACUGUGUGGAGCUAGAAUAAGUAACCUAUAAAUUAUUAUCUAAUUUAUUCUUAACUCUCUUAGAAUAAUUUUAUUAAUAAUGACUGCAUAGCACAACCCAUAUGUUAACAAAAUUUAUGAUAAUUUAUUGUGUUAAGUCGUGCCUAUAAAAAAAAGGAUUCUGAAUUGCUCUUAACUGUUUCUUCUACAACUUUUCUCACACUAUACAUAAAUUAUGAACUUCUGAAUUCUCUUGAUUUCAUUUACAAAUUUCAUCUACAAAAUCUCAUCAUUCCCUUCUACCCUAUAGGUUAACACUAUAAAAAAAGGUAAAUUAGUUACUCAGAAGAAGUGUCUUGAAAGUGACAUGCAAAUAAAAAUAUUGUUUUACAGAACAAUGUUAUAUCACAUUAAUUUAUAUGCACUGCAUAAAAAAUAAAUUAAAUUAUAUGCAAUCCCCAAUUAAAUGGUGACAAUUCACACCAACUACCAAUAAAAAGAGAAGAUGAAUAAAUUGUUGAAUCAUUAAAUAAAAUAUGAAGCUUCAACACUCACUUCNAAUAUUUAUCCAUAAAAGAAUUAGUGAUAGACAAAAAGUCAAUUCCAUAAUUUCUACACUUUAAAACUAAAAUUAGUUUCUAACUAUUAGUUAAAAACAUUAAAAUUAAAAUAUUACUAGAACAAUAUGAUGACUAUCAUGUUAAAUUUAGAGAAGAUUGAGCCAGAAAACUGUCUCCUCUUCCGGGAGAACUUUCAUAUAUAUACAACUAAUUACAAUCUCUUAAGCUGAUUUUCAGCCCACUAAAUAAGCUAAAUUGUCAUAUAUAUACAUUUACUACAGCUAAUUAUUCUAAUUAAGAGAAUAACAGUUACAAAUAAAUAUAUAAUUGCAUAUCUUUGGCAUUCAUUCUGUUGACAUAUCAUGCAUUGAAGACUCAAAUUCUUGUAAUAUCAUUUUUUAAGUAUGAAACANAGUAUAUUAGAAAUAGCAUACACAUCUUAUGCACAUUCAUGAUCUCCAAUGGAAUUUAUCAUUGUUUCCAACAAUACCAUGAUAGAAAAAUGUAAUCACUAGAGCUACCUAGACAUUUUCAAGAUUAGUAGCACAAACAGAACAUUUGUUCAAGAACAUGUUUUCCGUUGAAAGACCAUUUGAAAUAGAUAACAAGAGUGUAUACUGAUCAGAUGCAAAGUGCAGAAACAAUUACAUAAUAGAUAACAAGAGUGUAUUGACAAAUACCCGACGAAUUGCCUUUGCCUUCUCUAAAAUUACUGUAACUUUGACGUUGGCAGUGGGACCAGUUGCAUCAUUUGACUUUCCUGUUACUGUGGGCCUCAGGUUGAAGGCCUGAACCAACAAUGCAAAGGUUAACAACAAUAAACAUUGUUACUUUUACAGAUAAAUUUGCAAGAUCAUGUUCUGCAUUGAUAUCAUGUAGACUCCAGAGUCAACUUUUGUCAUUUUGAGGACUUUUACAUAUAAAUAAUAUUAAAUUAUUGAGAAUUGUCGAAUACAAAUAAAAUAACAGUCAAUUGAUAUAAUUAUCAUAACUUUCAAUAAAAACCAAGGCUUAAAACAUAUAAAAGCUUGCGUUGUUAAGAGAAUAAUCAAAUGGUUCAUAUUCGUAUCUCCAACAUGCAUAACCACUAAUAAUCCAAUAAAGAGAGAAUUGAAGUCCAAACAGUUUAUCAAAGAGAUUUCGAUUUAAGAUACAAUGUCAACAACUUAAUCAUCAUAAACUGAAAAGCCUUGACCUAUCAAACAAUUUCCAGAAAUGGGUUCACUUGAAAAGGUGACCCAAGGUUUGAUUUACAUCUCUAACACCAACAACUAAAAUUUCAUCAAUAUAUACUGAGGCUACUCCAAAUAUCCUAUUAGCAUUUUCCUUUUGGUCAUAUAAUCAUUAACUCAUCGGGUAUUCUGGAUAUGUAAGGUAAUGCUUAUACUAGUUAAGCAUAUUUGAAAUCACAUUACCUGUUUUGGUCGCUUUAUAGAUAUGCAGCCUGCAAUGUCUCCAAUGAGACUAAUCCACCUUUCUGUAGCUCAUAAGAUCACAUUUUUUUAUCAUUCAUGAUAACCAUUUUGAAUGAUUUAAUUUAACCUCUACAUAACAAAAAGAACUAUACAUUAUCAUGUUUUCCGGGUUGGAAUUUGUGUGGUCCGACAAAGUGGAUAAAGGGAUAUGAUGAUCAAAGGGAGCUUGUAGAGUGAUUAUAAAAAUUCAUUUUUUGUGUUGUGGUUGUGUUUUAGCCACUAUAAUGGAUAAUGAAUGAAUGAAAACUAAAGUGUUUUAAAAAAUAAUUUGUAUGCGUGAAUCUACUCUUACGGUUGAGAAAUGCAGUAGAUCAACGAAGUGUGGCAGUAGCUUAGAAGCAGGACUUCUGUGAUUAGAUAGCAUCAUUGUUUAUAUAUCAUUUUGCGUACCAUUAUACCAAGCCAAAAUUCUUAAAAUCGGUUCUGCAUGUUAUAUGAUUCAAAACAAUGGACAUUGACCAACAUCAAUUCUAACCUUUUAGAGGAUGAGCCACCACUCUACCUUGACGUUCACCACAAACUCUUCUAGUAAGAAAUACAAUUUAAGCAAACACUAGCUUGUAUGAUUGACGACAAUUUUUUCCUACUCAAUAUCUUCAAAAUAAUGUGAAUGUUAGAUGCGUAUAAAACUUGAGCCAUCCCUAUAAUUAAAUAUUCCUAUAACUACAUAUGAAAACCAAAUACUCAAACAGUGACUGGAAAGUGUUUUCUGCACCAGAAAAAGUGGACUGAAAUGGUGGUUUUAAACCCAAAAACGAGUGGAAGUGAUUCAUUAGCUCAUGUGAGUGACCAAACUUUGCUUGAUGAUUUUAAGUGUGUUCAAACUCUUAAACAACUCAAAAUUUGUUUAAAACUCAAAAUCACUGGUUCACUACCCUUUUUAACUCAAAAAGUGGGGGUUUAAUAGGUAAAUCUGCGUAUAGGCUAAAAUUUGACCAAAUGAAUAGUGCUAGCAACUUUCAAACAUCAAUUUAGACUUGCUCAAGGUUUCCAAAAGCACAGAAACAGCAGAAUUCAAAAAUCACCCUUGCUAUAGCCAAUUUAUGCAGCAAAAUACACCAAUAAACCACCCAAAAUCAGUUUUCCAAGGAUUCAAGAGCUGGACAGCAAAGAAAAUGUGCGUACCUGAGAGAGACGACCUGGAAGAAACCCCACUCUUGUGAAACCCUAGCAAUGAGCGACUUGCACUCUUCCCUCACAGUCUCUCCACUGUCCUCGGCUGAGAUCGAAGACCGGAAGCUCACUAUCUUCGGCGGCCACCAGGAGACGGCGUGAUGCUCCGACUAGUGUGAGCGGACUAGGCUUGGAGACGCUUAGGGCUUGGAGACUGUGCUCUGGGAUAUGAGAAAAAAAUUGGAAGAAACGGUGAAGAGAAAGAAAAGUUGUGGGGCGAAACGGUGAAGGAGAAAGAAAAGCUGGGCGGGACGAAUCGGAAGAAAUGAAAUGCUCUGCCUCGCGAGAUCUCUGAAAGGGUAUUGGUCCUAUAUUUAUAGGUUUUUAAAUAUCUAUCAUAAUAUAUGGUUUCCGCAUAAUUACGAUAUUGCCACCGUAUCCAGUUUAUCAUGAUAGAUGGUCUUUUAUAGGUUAUAAUGUAUUUAAUUUUUUUUCGAAAAUGUCACCAUUAUUCUUAUUAUAAUUGCUUUCUUAAAUUACGUUAUGAUAUAUAUUAGUUUUAUUACAAAAUAAU